ACCAGCAUUUCCACGGAAUCUUUCUUUGCUGUCAGAAGUGAAACGACAUAUAUGCUCUUCUCGGAUAGUAGACCACAACUUAAACUGGAAAGCCCAUUGAUCCACAGACACAGCAUUUGUUGCUAAACAAAGGCAGCUCUUUUUUAUUCUGCUUGCUGCAGAGACACCUACUAAAGACUUUCCGGCACCACAAGGUAGCACAAUAAUACCAGAUCUUGCUCUUCCUGGAGCAUUAAACAUAGUAGGUCUAAACAAAGGCAGCUCUUUUUUAUUCUGCUUGCUGCGGAUACACCUACUAAAGACUUUCCAGCACCACAAGGUAGCACAAUAAUACCAGAUCUUGCUCUU
rnacentral:lncRNA from 1 species